rnacentral:rRNA from 1 species
UACGUAGGGUGCGAGCGUUAAUCGGAAUUACUGGGCGUAAAGCGUGCGCAGGCGGUGAGUUACGUCUGCUGUGAAAGCCCCGGGCUCAACCUGGGAAUGGCAGUGGAAACUGGCUCGCUGGAGUGUGGCAGAGGGGGGUGGAAUUCCGCGUGUAGCAGUGAAAUGCGUAGAGAUGCGGAGGAACACCGAUGGCGAAGGCAAUCCCCUGGACCUGUACUGACGCUCAUGCACGAAAGCGUGGGGAGCAAACAGG